CUCUGGUUCUCGUACGAUCACUGAACUUAAGCAACAUCGAGCCUCAUCAGUAAUUAGAUGGGUGACCGCUUUGGAAUACCAAGUGCUGUAAG